CGAACCUCUUGUGCACCGGUUGUCGCGCCAGCGGCAUGGCCGGGUAGCGAUGUUCGAAAGGAUAACCGCUGAAAGCAUAUAAGCGGGAAGCCUUCCUCAAGAUGAGAUUUCCCGGGGGUAACCCCCUGAAGGCCCGUGGGAGACGACCACGUUGAUAGGCUGGGUGUGGACGCGCUGCAAGGCGUGAAGCUGACCAGUACUAAUCGGCCGUGAGGCUUGACCAU
rnacentral:rRNA from 1 species